AAUUUUGGACAAUGGUGGUAACCCUGAUACAGCCAUCCCGCGAGUAUGAUGAAGGCAUUCGGGUUGAAAAGUACUCUUGGCAGAGAAGAAAAGGUAUCCCCUAAUACGGGAUACUGCUGACGGUCUCUGCAGAAUAAGCACCGGCUAACUACGUGUCAGCAGCCGAGGUAAUACGUAGGGUGCAAGCGUUAAACGGAAUUACUGGGCGUAAAGCAUUUGUAGGCGGUUCGGAAAGAAAGAGGUGAAAUCCCAGGGCUCAACCUUGGAACUGCAUUUUUAACUGCCGAGCUAGAGUAUGUCAGAGGGGGGUAGAAUUCCGCGUGUAGCAGUGAAAUGCGUAGAUAUGUGGAGGAAUACCGAUGGCGAAGGCAGCCCCCUGGGAUAAUACUGACGCGCAGACACGAAAGCGUGGGGAGCAAACAGG
rnacentral:rRNA from 1 species